UUUCACCAUGAACCGUACCAUAUUUUCACUUUAUUUUACAUUUUCUUAAAAAAUAACCUCAAAACACAUGAAAUUAAAGCAAUGCUGCUAACAUCAGUUGACAUCACGAUAGAAAAGGACGCAAUGCACGCACUCUUGGCAGCCCUUGAAAAUAAGAGGUUACUUUACUGUGAAAAGGGGCGUGGUUUAGCCAAAUUGGGCACACAAUAGGUUUGUUCGAGUUGCUUGAAAUCCCCCAAAAUUUUUGCACUCGAGAUGAGAUAAAUAUUCGAUCGUAAGAGAGAGACGACAAAGAAAUUAAUUCAAAAAGGGCAGCAAAACGAACAGGCCUCAUGUUAUACUUCCACCAUGCUUUUUGCUGUCCUCUUGAUAUUAGCAAAAGAGAGAAGAGAUACGAAUAUUGUCUACCAUUUUUUUUACGCGUGCUUCAAAAGAACCCUUCUCAAUAUCAUCUUAUUUAGGAAUUAAUAUUUUUCUAGAUUGCUCACUAUGAUUUUUUUCAAAUAUUGAAAAAACGAAUAAUUAUCUCAAAAUGAAAGCAAUACACAUAAUAUGUAAAUACAAUAAUUUAUUUUGUUAAUAAUAUGUAAGUAGUUGAGCUACAUUUUUAAUAUUUCUCCAAAAUAAGUGCGCGUAGCGUAGCGUUGUUGCGCAAGUUGUUUACAAAGUAUAAAAAAAUGUAAAUAAAUUGACGAAUCUUAUUACGAGUUUGUUUCUUCAUUUUGUACAGGAUGUUUUUGCAUUUAAACGUAGCUACAUACAAAUGGAAUGUAUCACAGAUAUUUAUGCAUCAUAACAGUUAGACUUGGCAACAUCAUUUUGGAGUAUCCUGUAAAUGCAGUUCUUUGUUAAAAAUCAUACGGUUACAGAAUGGACGUAAAAUGAAAAUUUGUAAUAAAUCAAUUAUUUGAUUGCACUAAUCACUGCCAUUCGGAAACACAGAGAUAGUAUCAUAAUCAAAACACAAAAAUUAUUUAAAUAUUAUAGAAGAUUUAUGUAUAAGUUUGUAAAAUAAACAACCUAUAUAAGAA